UCCCCCCCCCAUACGAUAACCGAAGUUAAGCAACGUAGUGGUUGGUCAGUACUUGGAUGGGUGACCACUUGCGAAUAUCAGGUGAUGUAAG